CCUGGUGAUUUAAUUCAGGUGUUACACCUCUUCCCAUUCCGAACAGAGAAGUUAAGCCCUGAAUGACCUAUGGUACUGCAUGAGCAAUUGUGUGGGAGAGUCGGUUUCGCCAGGU
rnacentral:rRNA from 1 species